rnacentral:rRNA from 1 species
AACGAACGCUGGCGGCAUGCCUAAUACAUGCAAGUCGAACGAUGCUUUCGGGCCUUGUGGCGUCUGGGUUCGUAGCGGGUUGGAAUCUGCACUUGGGUUCUGAAUAACUGUGAGAAAUUGCUGCUAAUACCGGAUCAUGUCUUCGCACCAAAGAUUUCUCGCCCAUGGAUGAGCGAGCGUGGGAUUAGCUCGUUUUUUGGGUAAUGGCCUACUAAGGCGUCGAUCCUUAGCUGGUCAGAGAGACAGCUCAGCCACACUGGGACUGAGACACGGCCCAGAAUCUUACGGGAUGGUGCAGUGGCGAAUAUUGGACAACCGCGGCAGUCCUGAACAAGCAAGGCCGCGUAAGCUAUGAUGUCCGUAAGGAAGUAAAGCUCAAGUAACCGGGAAAAUAAUGACAGUACCGGAUGAAUAAGCACCGGCUAACUCCGUG